rnacentral:rRNA from 1 species
UACGUAGGGUGCAAGCGUUGUCCGGAAUUAUUGGGCGUAAAGAGCUCGUAGGCGGUUUGUUGCGUCGGCUGUGAAAUCCCGAGGCUCAACCUCGGGUCUGCAGUCGAUACGAGCAAACUAGAGUGUUGCAGGGGAGACUGGAAUUCCUGGUGUAGCGGUGAAAUGCGCAGAUAUCAGGAGGAACACCGGUGGCGAAGGCGGGUCUCUGGGCCGAUACUGACGCUGAGGCACGAAAGUGUGGGGAUCAAACAGG